CCUUUGACGUUAGCGGCGGACGGGUGAGUAACACGUGGGUAACCUACCUAUAAGACUGGGAUAACUUCGGUAAACCGGAGCUAAUACCGGAUAAUAUUUCGAACCGCAUGGUUCGAUAGUGAAAGAUGGUUUUGCUAUCACUUAUAGAUGGACCCGCGCCGUAUUAGCUAGUUGGUAAGGUAACGGCUUACCAAGGCGACGAUACGUAGCCGACCUGAGAGGGUGAUCGGCCACACUGGAACUUAGACACGGUCCAG
rnacentral:rRNA from 1 species